rnacentral:snRNA from 1 species
ACUGUUUCUCUGCCUUUUGGCUAAGAUCAAAUGUAGUUACCUAUUGUUAUCAGUUUAAUAUCUGAUACAUCCUUUAUCAAAAGACAGUACAUUAAAUGGAUUUGUGGAGCAGGGAGAUGGAAUAGGAGCUUGCUCUGUCCACUCCACACAUUGACCUGGUACUGCAAUACUUCCAGAAAUUGUGCACCCCUU